rnacentral:lncRNA from 1 species
GGAGGAGUGGGAGAGAGAGGACGAUGGAGGAGGAGGUGGAAGGAAAAUGGAGCAGAAGCAUGUAGCCUGGAGAAACUGACCCCUGAAGAGAACACAGUCCUGAUCAUAACUUGGUAUUAUCCCAGUGAAACCUCCACUACACUGGGCAUACAAAGGGGAUUCUCCAGCUGGCCAUGAGCUAUGCAACCCUACCAAAGACACACGGUCCUCUUCUCUGCUCCACUUAAGACAGAUAACAGCAGAAAGCAAGCUAGCACUAAGCAUCAUUUAGAAGGGAUGUCAGCUCUAGGACGACUAGAGCUGCUUCUUCUGUCCAGUCAGAAUCAGAAGAAACCUAGGAGCAGACACAAGCAGCAGAGCGGUUUCCUGAAAAUGGAUGCACUUGUCCACGUCCAUUCCCUCCUUAGCACACCCAGUGCAUCCUGAACACAGCACAGAAGCCAAGCAGGAUUGGGUCUGACUAGCCCCCAGCUUAUGUCCAUGGAUGUCUGUGGUCUGUAUUGCUCUUCCCGAUCUGCUGCUCAGUCCAACUCUUGGUGCACAGUGUGUGCUCAGUAAAGUUUUCUUGGCCAAUUCAACCC